UGUGGGGUAUAGCUAGAAAGA
rnacentral:miRNA from 1 species